GGGCGCAAGGAACAGAAGGGGUAGCCGGUCACUUCCGCAUCCUAGCUAUUUUCCCCGCUGAGGGUCUGAUCACUGCCGCUCUCAGGCACCUGUCCUUCCUCUCCGUCCGGGAAUGGAGCCAAGAAAAGGGAAUAAAAGAAAUUAAAUAGUACAAGGAGAUCGGGUGUCUGAGCAGCGUCUUGGAUAAAACCGUCCACUACAGAACCAGCUCCCUACCCCGAGCCCCAGCUUAAUGAUGACAGAUCCUUGCUCUGUUCAUCUAGUUGAGAAUGGCGUAUGGACCUAUCAUGUCCUUGUAAAACAACUCACCAGCAUCCAGAAGCUUCCUCACACGCAAAUAGCUGAUGGUGAGCCUCAUAACAGAAGCCUUAUCAAGAUGUGAGCUUACAUUAUGGGGGAGUGGC